GACUCUUCCGGUGGCCUAGUUAUUAGAGCGUCCGCCUCGGAUGCGGAAGAGCAUGGAUUCUAUCCCCGGCCGAGUCA